CAAAAAGAAAAUGUCAAACGCGAUGAAAAAUUGAAAAUGGACGACCGAUAGUUUUCUUUUGGCACGUGAAUUUGAAUAUUAUUUUUUUGUUAAUUUUCAAACAAACAGCCCGCCGUCAAACUGGGUGCCAAAACGGUGGAGCGUUUUCUGAGCCUGGCCGACGAGAACUUCGUCGACGAUGUCAACGAAGACCUAAAAUGUUUCCUAGCCGAAAAAAAAGUUGACAGUGUGCUGGUGUUCCCUCCGGUGAGCAACUACCGGCGCUUCCUGAUCCACCGCUGCGUGGAGCAGCUCACGGCCACCCUCGCCUCCUUCUCCAUCGGCCACAACGACGAGCGCCGCACCGUCGUGUGCUACCGGGAGAGACUACUGAGUGAUGAGGCUUGCGCGCGGCCAGCCAUGGGCCUGACGCAGGAGAGGAACGAUGCUGACCUCACAGACAAUGCGGCGGCGGACUGCAGCGCGGCGCGCGCGCACGCCACGGAAAAGCUCCGCUCCGUGUCUGGUCGUCCGCGGCGCCCCGACCGCGCCGUGUACGUGCCGCGAGCGCUGCGCGCGCCCGAGGCCGAGCCGGCGCGCGACAAGUCCGCGCACGGCACGCCGCGCCGCUCGCUCGACAAGCACUUCUGCAACGUGUACACGCCGCCGCCGCUGCGCCAGCCGGACGCGCCCGCCGCAUCCCCCGCGCCCGCUCCGCCUGCCGCACCCCCCGCACCGACCGCACCCGCCGCGCCCGCCGAGCCCGCCGACGAGAGCUUCUACAUCGGGGACUACUUCGCGCACAGCCAGCUCGGCUUCUACCGGCCCAGCGACGGCUGGCCUGACAUGGCAGACAGCAAGGACGGCGACGGCGAGGCGGCCGAGCUGGAGCGCGCGUCGCGCGAGAUGAGCCGCGGCGGCAAGCGCAUCAUGAAGCAGAGCUUCGAGUCCGACGUGCUGCACAUCGCCGACGAGCCGCCGCGCCGCGAGGACUGCGACUGGGACGCGGUCUUCGACGACGACGGCGAGUGCCUCGACCCGUCGCUGCUGCAGCAGCUGUCGGCCGCCGUGGGCCGCGUCACCGUGAGCCGGCCGCGCCGCGCCGCGCCCGCGCCGCCGCCGGAGCCGGGCGACGACGCGCUGGCGCACGUGCUGGAGGUGUACGACUUCCCCAGCGAGUUCAACACCAACGACCUGCUGGCGCUGUUCAGCGAGUACAAGGAGACGGGCUUCGAGAUCAAGUGGGUGGACGACACGCACGCGCUGCUCGUCUUCAGCAGCGCCAAGAUCGCCGCCGCGGCGCUGGGCUCGCCGCGCUCGCUGGCGCGCGUGCGGCCGCUGCACGCCGCCACGCCGGAGUCGCGUGGCAAGGCGCGCCGCUGCGCCGCCUCGCUGCAGCCCUACCGCCAGCGGCCCGAGACGUGCGCGGCGCUGGCGCGGCGGCUGGUGUCGGGCGCGCUGGGGCUGCGGCUCAGCACGGCGCAGGCCGAGCGCGCGGAGGAGCGCCGCCUCAUCUCGCGCGCGCGCGAGCGCAAGCGCCAGGCCGCGCUGCUCCGCCAGGCGGCGUGGGACGGCUCGCUGGCCAACGCCUCGCCGGACGCUUGACUGCGCCGCAGCGCCGCUGGGAAGCCUGCAGCGUGAUACUGGCAAAGAUCUCCAGGUGGAGCUUUGGGCGCGUACACAAGUCGCUGCCGUCCGCCGAGCUGAGAAGCCUGCGGUGAGGCAGCGCCACUGGGGCCUCCACUGGAGGCAGCCGCUGGGAGAGUCCCAGCGGUGACCACGACGGGUCCCUCCCUAGCAGGCCCGGGAAGUGCUGCAAUGUACACGAGCUCCAGCGAGCGCCGCCAUGUAGCUGUGUAUGCCGACGAGCGAUUAGUAGCAUGUGACCAUGACACGAGCGCGCCGCAGUCGCUAGCAGCGGCGAAGAGUCCGUACAGGUCGAUUCCCGCAGGGUUACCUUUUAAAAAUCCAUACUUAUAUAUUCAUUAUUUUAAUGGAUGUGUGAGAAAUCGCAGUUUGUAUAGAGCGGUAUGAAUUUCUUUUUCUCUGGGACGGCUUACUUUCGUCAAAAUUCCAUCCUUCGCCACUGGUAGCUAGUGAAAAGUUUGAAGUCCCUGUGAAUGUUGAUGUUGUUAAGACCCAUAAAUUUAUCAAAAACGUCAAUUACAUAAAAUUUUAAAAAUACUUAGGUAUAUAGCGGUCGGUACCGGCGGCGCGCUCGCGUCGCUUCGCAUUACUUCCAUAGCUUGGCAAAUUCGUUCGUGUAACACUCCCGAUGGUCCGCGCGGGCCGGUAGGGUGGAGCGAUGCCCCGCGCGCACGACUUCACACCCGCGCAGUCCUUUCCCCCGGCGUCCGCAUAUCAUGGGGGUAUCACUACGAACUUGCCAAGCUAUAGUACAUAGAGCUCCGCGAGCCACUCGCUGCGAGAUAUAUUAAUUUUAAGAAGCUCUCAAAUAGAUAUAAUAUAAUAUAAAUUUACAUAAUGUAAAGAAAUUCUACGAAUAACUAUUUUUAAAACAAAUUAUAAGAAAGCGGGCGCGCGCUAGAGGUGGCGCUAGAGGUGGCGCCGCGUGCGGCGAUGUUGUUGUUACUAACGAAUUUAGAUGUUGACGUCCGCCGCCAUCUUGGAUAUAGCGUGACGUCAUCGUGUUACGGAGCAAUAAGUUAGCAAUUGUAGGAUUUGUAAGUUAAGAACGAUAAUAGAUCUUAAUGCGACGUAUAAGUUACGUUACAUUAUAUGUAAUGCAAAUGCAAUUGUCUAGAUAGCUCUCGGGCACUUUGGAGUAAGUAAAGUAAUAAUGUGUAUGGAUUUUCAUUUGUUUUGUAAAUUGACUUUAAUUCAUUUAGUUGUGACAUCGUCUGGAGAUUGCCCGAAGGCUAGACUUUAGUGAAUCUUAUAUUAGUUUUAAUUUUUUACUAACACGAUACUCAAUAACGAAGUUAAAUGUUUUCAAUUAGUAUGAGGAUGUGCGAUAAAAGUAUGUAUGGUUGAGUGUCCAUUUAAUUAAGUAGUAUUACUUGUCGUAGAGUUAGGUUGAUACAAUUUGUAUGUGAACCAAUGGAACCCUUCCACUGCCGCUCUGUAUAUCUGUGUACUUGUAAACAUUACUAUUUCAUGAAUUACAUAUAUUUCUAAAAAAUGAAUUCUCUACAAAUUUUAGGUGUGACUCAAUGUAAUAAAAAUAUAAUGUGUUAAAUUUACAAUUGACAAAAGAUAUAUUGUUAUUAGUUUGUAAGCUGAUAAAGAGUUAUUCACUUUUGGAAUAUAAAAACUAAAUUAAUCAUUAUCGAGAACGAGUCUUCCCUAUCAGGGUAGUACGUUAGGGUCAAAACUUUAACUUGUGUAUAUAACAAUAGUUAGUAUGGUUGUGUGCGUUUCUCUUCUUUCCUGUAGCCUACGAUACCAACCAACGCAUAUCUCUAGAGAGAAUGACUUGUCUCAACCAAUAGCGGCGUACCGAAAAUAUCGCCCCCUCUCUCGUCCUACUGCAAAGAAAGAGGCAGAAAUAUUUUCAAUAGUUUGCAUGUUUUGUCAUUCUCUUGGACACAUGUGUUGGUGCAAAUGUCGGGCUACUGUCGUAGUGUGAGUAUUGUAAUACCAAAUACUAGUUGUGCAUAAUGUUGUAUGUAUAUUUUAGAAUUUAAACUAUCGAGAGUGUUAUUCAUAUUCAUUGAUUAUGAAACACGGCUAUCAGUUUGGAUCUUGCCGCGUUGCAAGAAUCGGGGCUUAUGACUAAGGGCCCCGUAUGGGUUCGAAACUAGUCGGGCAUACUCCGACCGUGAGUUUUAGCCGUGUUUCUUAAUCAGUUAAUUGUAUGUAUAAUUAGUUGUCGCUCUAGGGCGCGCCGCGCGGGGACUGUUUUGAUGAAUUGGACAAUUUAUUUUGAUGAAUUAUUGAUAUAGUUUUAGUUGUAGGUUUUACUCGUCUCGUGUAGGCCUACAGCAUGCGUCAACGACAGAUCUCGUGAAGACGAAAAGACAUGUCGACCGAUACCGAUGGAGUAGUCCGCCGCUAUUGAUCUUUUUCUCGUUGCAUCGUAGGCCUAAUGGACAUGUUCUGUUGAUAAAAAAUGAAUUUUAGACUGCUGUAAAUAAUGAAAAAUUUGACAUCCCUCCCCCCGCGCGGCGCGCGUCCCGCGGAGCGCGUUUCGUUGUGAGUUCGUGCCUUUGUGUGUCUAGUCAGUUAGUGUCCGCCCGCGCCGCCGGACCUCUCGCCGCCCGCGCCGCCGCGCGCACUGCCCGCCCUCGACCACGACCAUGACCACGACCACGACCGGUGGCCGCGUGUACCACGUGAGCAUCGCGUACGUGGCCGCAGAUCGCGUCGGCUACAUACACAAGGCAUUGUCCUGCACGUGUUUGUACAGUAAACUUUCUAUAGUGUUUUCAGAUACGGUGACUGAUCGUUUCAAUCUUGAUAGUUUGCCGCGAUUAUAGUACGUAUUAUGAACGUCAUACAGACAGCUGUCACCGUACCCAUGCUAUCUGAAAAGCGGGAAACCCGGGAACACGCAAAGAAAAAGUACCGGGAUUUCCCUCCCUCGAUUCGGCCUAAAUUACCGACAGGUUGACGGGACCUUGGGAGGUGGUCGGUUGUUCAUAGAACUGUUUCUACGACGUUACUAUUGCAAAAAAACGUACUCCGUAUACUCGCUUGGACGUAUAAUGUGACAAAUACCUGCGACCACGUGACGUAGGCUAUGGUUCUGUGGUCGUGGCCCCUUGUGGCGUGGCCACUUGUGGCGUGGCCGGUCAGUGCGCGAGGUCUAUUAGUAUAUAAUUGUAGCGUUAAGACAAAUCGCGAGUUUAUAUUGUGUCCGUGUGUUACACUUCCGAAUGAAAGUGACUUGAAAGUCAUAUUGACUUUGACGUUAUAUUGACAUUUCGUUGUUGUGACGCAAGCUUCGGCUGUAGACUGAGCCGACAGAGAGCGAACUAAGUCCUAGCGCAGAGCUGAGUGCCUAGUGGGAGUUUCAAUGUUUUCGUACUGUGACGAUCGCGUAAACGUAAACGCGAAUAUCUAAGGAAUUGAAACAGCGCCACUAAGUAACACUACUGCACAACUGUUUAAAUUCCAUAUAAAAAAAAAAAAAAAAAAAAAUAAAAUAAAAUAUGUUUAUUUCAGGCCUUGACCCAUAGUUGUUAGUGUACAAAAAAAAAAAGACAAUAGCUUAAAUUAUAUGUUAGUAAAAUAAAUACAGACCAAAAAAAUAAAAAAUAAAAAAAGAGAAAUAAUAACACUACAUAUUUAGGUAUAAUACUUACUUAAGAUAUCUGCCCCUACAUACUGACACACCGGGCACACAGGUAUGUGUGUGUAUCCAGUGCCUCAGUAUGGGACAGUCAUACUUUUCGCUAAUCACCCUCAGGAAGGUGUUAGUGCUCCCCCUCAACCUGCUCAUCAGCGUUGCCGUUCGUUUCCGUAUGACUGUAGAGAAGCUGUCAGUCCUUCCGUACGCAAACAUUGCUGAUGCACUACAGUACCGUGGGAGCCCCAACAUCACCCUGAAGGCAUUGUUGUAUUGCACUCGGAGUGCAUUGUAUGUCUUCUGCGUAUAGUUGACCCACAGGCUGCACGUGUAUAGCGUCUGACAGAACGCCUUAAACAGUGUUACUUUUACGUCUACAGUAGACCGCGCGAACCUGCGAGCCAACAUAUUGCAUCUGACAGCAAUAGCUCUCCUUUCCCUUUCCAUGUCCAUGUCGUCGCACAAACCCUCAGUGACAAUAUGACCGAGGUAUUUGAACUCCGACACCCUCUGAAGCUCGAUUCCUCCCAAUGUUACUGGUGGUACAUUUUCUAAUUUUCGCGAGCCCACCCGAAACACCAGAAGUUCGCUCUUCUUAACAUUAUACAGAAGGCCAUGCUUCUGCGCAUAUCUCUCACAAAUUGUCAGCAGCUUCCGGAGCGCCCUUACUGAUGGACUCAACAACACCAUGUCGUCAGCAUAACUAAUAUUGUUAACACACUGCCCAUCUAUUGAGCAGCCGACGCCAGCGUUGCCGAGCUCUAUAAUUAGUUGGUUCAUGUAGAGGUUGAAGAGUGCUGGAGACGAUAAUCCCCCCUGUCUCACUCCACACUCCAACCUGAACUCAUCAGAAAGAGUACUCCUCCAUUUGACCUGGUUAGUCUGAUGGUCAUACCAAUACUUGAGAAUAUUGAUCACUUCCUUCCAUAUAAAUUCGCGUUUACGUUUACGCGAUCGUCGCAGUAUGAAAACAUUGAAAACUCCCACUACGCACUCUGUAUACAUAAACCGCGCCGGCGUCGACUCCAUGACUUAUGGUACAGGUUUCGGCUGGACCCCUCAAUAUUUUCCCUCGUCUGUCUGUCCUUUGGUUUUGUUAACCAAUUUUCACCAGCUUUUCUUAUUAUUACAUGUACCCAUUUUUCUCACAAUCUACCUUUUCCCCCUCUUUGUUUGUUAAUCCUUGCCCAGUAGUGUCCAUUUUUGAUUUUACCUUGUCUAUAAGUGCAAUAUUAUUUCAUCCGUCCCCGCAUUAUACCCGUCCAUUUUUAGCAUUCUUUGUUAUUUUUUCAUAUCCGUGUUUCUUUCUCUGUGCAUUUUUUGCAUAAAUCAUUGUCACAAAACAAUUUAGCUUUGCGAUUGUUGAUGCUGACCCCAUAACUAAAACUAAUCAACAGAUCGCAUCGAAGAAAUAUAGAUAACGCACCUACGAGUAUAUUUGAUUUAUGCGUCAUGCAAUGCAAUGUAGACCUAAUUACCUACACAAUAACAGUUUAUGCAUAAUAAAUAGUUUCUAAUUAUAUUGUUGUUAUGUAAUUCGUGGUCACUUUUGUUAGGAAGCUGUGUAAAUGUCGGACGACCAAGAUAUGAUAAUUUGUAUGAUGUUGUGACGCGGACCUUCCUGUGACGCGCCGGCCGUGCUUACGUCAGUGGCUGCCGCGCGCACGCGUUCGUCGCAGCGCACUCGUAACAUGCCGAUACUGUAUUAUUGCUUUCAUGCGCUUACUUACUCUUCAGUCUAGUUCGGACUACUUAAGAAGUUUAGUCGAGUAGCGUAAAAGGCUGCUAAACGCGUCACAACACCAAAACUAUUUUUUUGGUGUUUAGACACGUUUAGGAGCAAAUACGCUACUCGGCUAACUGCUAAAGUAGUCCAAAUAUUUUUUUAUGGAUCAUCUUGACUUGCGUUACCUUGUUUUUAUUUAUAUUGGUAACUUCCUUCAUUUGUGAGUAGAUAGCGCUGUUUUAGCAAUAUGUAACUUCUUUAAUUUUACGCGAUCGGACAAGUAUGAGCUCGCUCUCAACACAAGGGACGCGCUGCUCAGUCAAACUAUAAUAAGAUUCGAGAAGCUAUUACGCUAACGUCUACGCUGCGACGACGGCAUGCACUAGAAAAGGUGAUUUUAAUGUUAUAAAAUUCUCAUAAACACGCUAAAACAUUUCGAAAUGUUUUUUUUUGUCAGAAAAGAAAAUUAAAAUGUAAUACGUUGUAUAACCGUCCACAGGAUCAUUAUCUUUGACAUUUGGCGUGUGUCUGAUCUAAAUUUUAAGUUGGCCCGUUUAUAUCUACAGACACAGUGCGUGACAGACAAGUAGCGUGGCAGACACCCACAGACACCGUGUAUUCACACUGCUCAGCAGUCUCUAGAGACACUUAAAUAAUAAUAAUAGUUUAUUUAAAGGUAAAAACCCAGUGUAAAACAAACAUAAUAAUAAUAACAAUACAAAAAUAGUAAAAUAGUAAUUAAAAUUGACAUUACACUAAUUUAAUUGUCUAACUAGUAUAGGUAUUAUCUAUACAUAUUCGUAUGUUCUGCUACUUUCUAUUAGGCUCUUGGUGCACUGAAAGCCAAUGUUUAUAGAUUGAGCAGUCCAGACACUCAGCCAGCGUGGUGAGAAUCUCAUUUUUCGAUGAUCGCAAACGGUACCAAAAAUUUGCGUAAGAAGUCCGGUACUCUGGCCACCGCGAACAUGCCCGACGCGCUGCAGUACCGCGGCAACUUCAUCAGGAUACGAUACACAUCAUUGUAUUGUACCCUGAUGUUGUUGAUUGCGCGUCUGGUGUACUUGGUCCAAAGUUGACAUGAGUAGAAGCAUAGACAGUAUGCUCUAAACAAUGUCACUUUGACCUGUUCGCUGCACUUUGCAAACCGACGUGCGAGCAUGUUGCAUCUGACAGACAGAGCACGUCGCUCCCUCUCUAUAUCUUCAUUGUCAUUGAGAUCCUCAGUCACAACGUGUCCGAGAUAUCUGAACCGCUCAACCCUUUCAAGUAAAUUUCCUUCAAGGAACACCCCAGGGAUCCUCUCUGGACCUCUGCCUGCACGGAACACCAUCGUAACUGUUUUCUUGACGUUAUAUUUUAAGCCAUGAUCUAAGGCGUAACGUUCGCAGAUUGCAACUAGUUUACGAAGUCUACUGACUAAUGGCACUGUCAUUUAUGUAAGACUCUGUCAAUUUUAAUUCAGGUUUCAUGAAAAGGACUCUAUAGACAUGAACCGCACAGUCAAAAUAUUCUUUCCGCGAAUACUGGCCGGGAGCGGCCCGUGUCUGUCAACGUCUGCGCGGCCGCGUUACGAUAGAUAUAAAUACGUUAAUAGAAGAAUAUUAUUUUGUCUGCUACGACACGUGUCUGGCACGCUAAAUGUCUGUAGAUAUAGACGGACUCGUACUCUCGUAGUGACAUGUUGUGUGUGUGUGCGACGGCGACGCGACACGGUUGUGCUGCCACUAAUGUGUGUUCGCGGUCGACAAUGACUGUCUCUCAAAUAUAUUAUAUUUGAAUAAAUAUUUUUGUAUUCCUUACUUUUUUUUAAUUUAUAAAAUAAAUAGUCAAAUUUU